rnacentral:rRNA from 1 species
GUGGGGAAUAUUGCACAAUGGAGGAAACUCUGAUGCAGCAACGCCGCGUGGAGGAUGACGCAUUUCGGUGUGUAAACUCCUUUUAUAAGGGAAGAUAAUGACGGUACCUUAUGAAUAAGCACCGGCUAACUCCGUGCCAGCAGCCGCGGUAAUACGGAGGGUGCAAGCGUUACUCGGAAUCACUGGGCGUAAAGGAUGUGUAGGCUGUACUAUAAGUCAGGAGUGAAAUCCAACGGCUCAACCGUUGAACUGCUUUUGAAACUGUUGUACUAGAAUAUGGGAGAGGUAGAUGGAAUUGGUGGUGUAGGGGUAAAAUCCGUAGAUAUCACCAGGAAUACCGAUUGCGAAGGCGAUCUACUGGAACAUUAUUGACGCUGAGACAUGAAAGCGUGGGGAGCAAACAGGAUUAGAAACCCUGGUAGUCC